GUCGAGAAUCUUUCGCAAUGGGGGAAACCCUGACGACGCGACGCCGCGUGGAGGAUGAAGGCCUUCGGGUUGUAAACUCCUGUCAGCUGGGGAGAACAAGUUGUCGGUGAAUAACCGGCGACCUUGACAGUACCAGCAGAGGAAGCCACGGCUAACUCUGUGCCAGCAGCCGCGGUAAUACAGAGGUGGCAAGCGUUGUUCGGAUUUAUUGGGCGUAAAGGGUCCGUAGGCGGCCUAGAAAGUCGGAUGUGAAAUCCCACAGCUUAACUGUGGAACUGCAUUGGAAACUUCUAGGCUCGAGUGUGAUAGGGGUAAAGGGAAUUCCCGGUGUAAGGGUGAAAUCUGCAGAGAUCGGGAGGAACACCAGUCGCGAAGGCGCUUUACUGGAUCACUACUGACGCUGAGGGACGAAAGCCAGGGGAGCAAACGGGAUUAGAUACCCCUGUAGUCC
rnacentral:rRNA from 1 species